rnacentral:rRNA from 1 species
UGGGGAAUUUUGGACAAUGGGCGAAAGCCUGAUCCAGCAAUGCCGCGUGUGUGAAGAAGGCCUUCGGGUUGUAAAGCACUUUUGUCCGGAAAGAAAUCCUUGGCUCUAAUACAGUCGGGGGAUGACGGUACCGGAAGAAUAAGCACCGGCUAACUACGUGCCAGCAGCCGCGGUAAUACGUAGGGUGCAAGCGUUAAUCGGAAUUACUGGGCGUAAAGCGUGCGCAGGCGGUUUGCUAAGACCGAUGUGAAAUCCCCGGGCUCAACCUGGGAACUGCAUUGGUGACUGGCAGGCUAGAGUAUGGCAGAGGGGGGUAGAAUUCCACGUGUAGCAGUNGAAAGUGCGUAGAGAUGUGGAGGAAUACCGAUGGCGAAGGCCAGCCCCCCUGGGCCAAUACUGACGCUCAUGCACGAAAAGCGUGGGGGAGCAAAACAGGAUUAGAUACCCUGGUAGUCCACGCCCUAAAACGAUGUCAACUAGUUGUUGGGGAAUUCAUUUCCUUAGUAACGUAGCUAACGCGUGAAGUUGACCGCCUGGGGGAGUACGGUCGCAAGA